GACGUAGGGCGCGAGCGUUGUCCGGAUUUAUUGGGCGUAAAGAGCUCGUAGGCGGCUUGUCGCGUCGUCCGUGAAAACCUGCAGCUCAACUGCAGGCUUGCGGUCGAUACGGGCAGGCUGGAGUUCGGUAGGGGAGACUGGAAUUCCUGGUGUAGCGGUGAAAUGCGUAGAUAUCAAGAGGAACACCUGAGGUGAAGACGGGUUGCUGGGCCAACACUGACGCUGAUGCGCGAAAGCCAGGGGAGCAAGCGGG
rnacentral:rRNA from 1 species